GUUCAGUGAAGAUGAUGACAAUGAAGGUGAUGAGAAAACACGUUGAGUUUUUUGUGCCUCAUCCUGUAGAAGAAGAAGAUGAACGUUAUUCAUGCAGUGAAGGGGAAGUCUCGUGUCUUGUUAGCUCUCUGAGAAGGUGCUUCGAAGGCAGAAAGCAGAAGAACCCAAGUGGCUGAUGAAACUUCGCCAGCUGCUGCCAGACAAUACAGAACAUUGUAGCCCUUCUGAAGAACAGAAAGAGUCCAGCUCUAAAUCUGAGCAACAUCUGGUGUUCCACCCUUCAGUUCACAAUUCUACGCUGGAAUCCGUAAGGCAGAUAAACGAAUGAAUGAUGAUUCAUCCAGUGGCCUGUGGUUCUGUCCUGGGGAACCUGAUGGUCUGUCCUCCAGAUGUUGAAUCACCAGUGGUCUGUGGUUCUGUCCUGGGGAACCUGAUGGUCUGUCCUCCAGAUGUUGAAUCACCAGUGGUCUGUGGUUCUGUCCUGGGGAACCUGAUGGUCUGUCCUCCAGAUGUUGAAUCACCAGUGGCCUGUGGUUCUGUCCUGGUGAGCGUGAUGGUCUGCUCUCCAGAUGUAGACGGAUGAAGUUCAUCACUCAGGCAAACCAAAGUCCAUUACUCUCCUCAUCACCUGUACAGACUGUUCAUUUAGAUUUGAUCUGAGGAGAUUUUGUGAUAUUUGAGGUUCAGUAUAGUUUGUAAACUCUCCUCAUCACCUUUACAUUUAGAUUUUAUUUGAUAAGAUUUUGUUAUCAGUGCUAUAGUUAUUAGUGCAGUCAUAAAUGUUAAGGUUUUUUUUUACUAUAAAACAUCACUGGCAAGUACACAGACUAAACAUUAUGUAUUAUGAAAAGUGAUGUCUAUAAUAUUUACAUUAUUAUUAUUACACCUGACAUCACAUGUAUAUAGAUGCACAUUGGAUAUUGAGUUCUUUGAACUGAGAACUGAAGUUCAGAUCAAAAUUGUGGAGAAUAAUCAAAACAAUUCUAAUAUGUAAGUUUAUUCCUACCGUUCCUAUCCUAUCACGCCUCAGCUAGCGUACUUCACAUCACUUAUUCUGCCUCACCUUACCUGCAUCACCCGGCCUGCAUCACCCAGCCUGCCCCACUCAGCCCAGCUCACACAGCUUACCCCAUAUGGCUAACCCCCCCUGACCUACCCUGCUCUGCCUGUCCACGUAGUCUGCCCUGCCCUGCCUGGCCCGUCCAGCCUGCCCCGCCUUCCUACCUAGGCCCGCGGCCUCUGCUCCCCGCUCACCAGACCUGCGCAUGCUAGUGAUCCCUGCUAGGGAGAUAUUUAUGUAAGUGGGGUGUAGAUGGGUAGAUAUUUGUGUAAGUGGGGUGGAGAUGGGUAGAUAUUUGUGUAGGUGGGAUGGAGAUGGGUAGAUAUUUGUGUAGGUGGGGUGUAGAUGGGUAGAUAUUUGUGUA